UACGUAGGGCGCAAGCGUUGUCCGGAAUUAUUGGGCGUAAAGAGCUCGUAGGCGGUUUGUCGCGUCUGCUGUGAAAACCUGAAGGCUCAACCUCGGGCUUGCAGUGGGUACGGGCAGACUAGAGUGCGGUAGGGGUGACUGGAAUUCCUGGUGUAGCGGUGAAAUGCGCAGAUAUCAGGAGGAACACCGGUGGCGAAGGCGGGUCUCUGGGCCGAUACUGACGCUGAGGAGCGAAAGCCGUGGGAGCGAACAGG
rnacentral:rRNA from 1 species